rnacentral:lncRNA from 1 species
GAGGCCAAAAUGAAAGAUAUUGAGAAUUAUAAAGGUAUAAUUGGUAAAGAGUUACCUACUUUCAAAUUCAUGAAUACUUGUUGUGCUAUCCACAAAGUAUUUGUGAGAAAUAGAGAUCUCAACCCCACUAAGAAACAUUAGUAUGUUUCUCGAUUUUCAUAUUUGAGGGCUAUGAAGUUUGAUAAAAUAAUGGGAGACACAAUUAGAUAAAAGUCCUAGUCUAGUUGUGAAUAUCUUCAUGAGUUGUCCGCUUAUAAUGUACUCUUAUCAUUAUAGAUUAACUACACUUAUGGCAUUCUCAUUGUCCCUUAGAGGUAUCCUAGAUAUUAACAAG